rnacentral:rRNA from 1 species
CCUGGCUCAGAUUGAACGCUGGCGGCAGGCCUAACACGUGCAAGUCGAGCGGUAGAGAGGUGCUUGCAUCUCUUGAGAGCGGCGGACGGGUGAGUAAUGCCUAGGAAUCUGCCUAGUGGUGGGGGAUAACGUUCGGAAACGGACGCUAAUACCGCAUACGUCCUACGGGAGAAANCGGGGGAUCUUCGGACCUCGCGCCAUUAGAUGAGCCUAGGUCGGAUUAGCUAGUUGGUGAGGUAAUGGCUCACCAAGGCGACGAUCCGUAACUGGUCUGAGAGGAUGAUCAGUCACACUGGAACUGAGACACGGUCCAGACUCCUACGGGAGGCAGCAGUGGGGAAUAUUGGACAAUGGGCGAAAGCCUGAUCCAGCCAUGCCGCGUGUGUGAAGAAGGUCUUCGGAUUGUAAAGCACUUUAAGUUGGGAGGAAGGGUAGUAACCUAAUACGUUGCUACUUUGACGUUACCGACAGAAUAAGCACCGGCUAACUUCGUG